rnacentral:tRNA from 1 species
AAAAAAUCCCCAAAAACA